rnacentral:lncRNA from 10 species
CUCCGCUGGGACCCAGGCGUGCGACCGGCUCUGCCUCCUCCGGAGUUCUGCCUCAGGACCUUUGCAUUUGCCAUCUCCUCUGUCAGCUUCAGUUCCCGAUGCCGAAAUGGAUCUCCAUCACCUUCAUAUUGAAGCUCAACUGUAACAUCAGCAAGGCUUCCUGCAAUCCCCUACUUUACUAGUUCAGCACCUCCCACCACCACACCCCCUGGAAAAAUUUCCCCUCACUUCCUUAAUUUCUUCCAUAGCACAACUCAUCAGCAUCUGAAAUUCUACACGUAUUUAUGGUUUAUCCCCUCCGAGUAGAAUGUGAGCUCAUUGAGGUCAGGGAAUUCUGUUUUCUUCAUGAUAUCCUCAGCACCUAGCAUAUAUUUGAGGUUCACAUACUGACCAAACGAAUAAAGGAAUAUGUUAAUUUUUAAAAA